CCUACGGGGGGCAGCAGUGAGGAAUAUUGGUCAAUGGACGAGAGUCUGAACCAGCCAAGUAGCGUGAAGGAUGACUGCCCUAUGGGUUGUAAACUUCUUUUAUAUGGGAAUAAAAUGUUCCACGUGUGGGAUUUUGUAUGUACCAUAUGAAUAAGGAUCGGCGAACUCCGUGCCAGCAGCCGCGGUAAUACGGAGGAUCCGAGCGUUAUCCGGAUUUAUUGGGUUUAAAGGGAGCGUAGGUGGUUUGUUAAGUCAGUUGUGAAAGUUUGCGGCUCAACCGUAAAAUUGCAGUUGAAACUGGCAGUCUUGAGUAUAGUAGAGGUGGGCGGAAUUCGAGGUGUAGCGGUGAAAUGCUUAGAGAUCACGAAGAACUCCGAUUGCGAAGGCAGUUCACUGGACAGCAACUGACACUGAGGUGCGAAAGUGUGGGUAUCAAACAGGAUUAGAUACCCUGGUAGUC
rnacentral:rRNA from 1 species